rnacentral:rRNA from 1 species
UGCCAGCCGCCGCGGUAAUACGGAGGGUGCAAGCGUUGUUCGGAAUUACUGGGCGUAAAGCGCGGGCAGGUGGCGCGUUAAGUCUUCUGUGAAAACCUGGGGCUCAACCCCGUGGACCGCAGAAGAUACUGGCGCGCUAGAGUAUGGUAGAGGCAAGCGGAAUUCCUGGUGUAGCGGUGGAAUGCGUAGAUAUCAGGAAGAACACCUGUGGCGAAGGCGGCUUGCUGGGCCAUUACUGACACUCAUCCGCGAAAGCGUGGGGAGCAAACAGGAUUAGAUA